UGGGAAUUUUGGACAAUGGGCGCAAGCCUGAUCCAGCCAUGCCGCGUGCGGGAAGAAGGCCUUCGGGUUGUAAACCGCUUUUGUCAGGGAAGAAAUCUUCUGAGUUAAUACCUCGGGAGGAUGACGGUACCUGAAGAAUAAGCACCGGCUAACUACGUGCCAGCAGCCGCGGUAAUACGUAGGGUGCAAGCGUUAAUCGGAAUUACUGGGCGUAAAGCGUGCGCAGGCGGUUUUGUAAGACAGAGGUGAAAUCCCCGGGCUCAACCUGGGAACUGCCUUUGUGACUGCAAGGCUUGAGUGCGGCAGAGGGGGAUGGAAUUCCGCGUGUAGCAGUGAAAUGCGUAGAUAUGCGGAGGAACGCCGAUGGCGAAGGCGAUCCCCUGGGCCUGCACUGACGCUCAUGCACGAAAGCGUGGGGAGCAAACAGGAUUAGAUAGCCCUGGUAGUCCACGCCCUAAACGAUGUCAACUGGUUGUUGGGAAGGUUCCUUCUCAGUAACGUAGCUAACGCGUGAAGUUGACCGCCUGGGGAGUACGGCCGCAAGGUUGAAACUUAAAGGAAUUGACGGGGUCAUAGC
rnacentral:rRNA from 1 species